UUUGGUGUUGUGUAGUGAGAAGUGAGAAAAGAGAAAAAAAUCAAAUUUGGAAUGUGUUUGAAAUUGUAGUGGACAUUGUAGUUCAUAUGAGUAUGACUAGUGAUGGUGAAAUAGGAAAGCAUGCAUUAAGAUGGUGACAUGGGUAAUGUGGAAUUCACAUGAUUCUCCAGUUUAUUAUGGCUAAAUUUGGAACAAGAUAUAACUACUGCAGGGGAAACGUGAUUCGUGUUGAUGUUUUCU
rnacentral:lncRNA from 1 species